UACAGAGGGCUCAAGCGUUGUUCGGAUUCAUUGGGCGUAAAGGGUGCGUAGGCGGCGCGGUAAGUCGGGGGUGAAAUCUCGGGGCUUAACUCCGAAACUGCAUUCGAUACUGCCGUGCUUGAGGACUGGAGAGGAGACUGGAAUUUACGGUGUAGCGGUGAAAUGCGUAGAUAUCGUAAGGAAGACCAGUGGCGAAGGCGGGUCUCUGGACAGUUCCUGACGCUGAGGCACGAAGGUCAGGGGAGCAAACGGG
rnacentral:rRNA from 1 species